GACGAACGCUGGCGGCGUGCUUAACACAUGCAAGUCGAACGCUGAAGCUCAGCUUUUGUUGGGUGGAUGAGUGGCGAACGGGUGAGUAACACGUGAGUAACCUGCCUCCUUCUUUGGGAUAACGCCCGGAAACGGGUGCUAAUACUGGAUAUUCACUGGUCUUCGCAUGGGGGUUGGUGGAAAGGGUUUUUCUGGUGGGGGAUGGGCUCGCGGCCUAUCAGCUUGUUGGUGGGGUGAUGGCCUACCAAGGCUUUGACGGGUAGCCGGCCUGAGAGGGUGACCGGUCACAUUGGGACUGGGAUACGGCCCAGACUCCUACGGGAGGCAGCAGUGGGGAAUAUUGCACAAUGGGCGCAAGCCUGAUGCAGCGACGCCGCGUGAGGGAUGGAGGCCUUCGGGUUGUGAACCCCUUUCGCUCAUGGUCAAGCCGCAACAAUGGUUGUGGUGAGGGUAGUGGGUAAAGAAGCGCCGGCUAACUACGUG
rnacentral:rRNA from 1 species